AUUGAACGCUGGCGGCAGGCCUAACACAUGCAAGUCGAACGGUAACAGGAAGAAGCUUGCUUCUUUGCUGACGAGUGGCGGACGGGUGAGUAAUGUCUGGGAAACUGCCUGAUGGAGGGGGAUAACUACUGGAAACGGUAGCUAAUACCGCAUAACGUCGCAAGACCAAAGAGGGGGACCUUCGGGGCUCUUGCCAUCUGAUGUGCCCAGAUGGGAUUAGCUAGUAGGUGGGGUAACGGCUCACCUAGGCGACGAUCCCUAGCUGGUCUGAGAGGAUGACCAGCCACACUGGAACUGAGACACGGUCCAGACUCCUACGGGAGGCAGCAGUGGGGAAUAUUGCACAAUGGGCGCAAGCCUGAUGCAGCCAUGCCGCGUGUAUGAAGAAGGCCUUCGGGUUGUAAAGUACUUUCAGCGGGGAGGAAGGGAGUAAAGUUAAUACCUUUGCUCAUUGACGUUACCCGCAGAAGAAGCACCGGCUAACUCCGUG
rnacentral:rRNA from 1 species